CUCUUCUUGUCCUCGUAGUUCUUGGACUCAUCCACGAUCUUCUGAAACAUCGCUCUCUUCCUGAACCCAGGAACAAGGGACGUGCAGGUUGUUGGUGCCGCGGUGGUCGAUGUCGUGGCACAGGCCGGCUGUCACCAUGGCGAAGGCCUCCAGGAGGGCCUGCACAACCCUGGUCAUUCUGGCAGCCACGCACCAUAAGCAGCGUGAACAUCGUCUGGGCCACGUUGAAGCCGUGACGCCAGUUGUGGUAGGUGAUUCUCCGGUACCCUUUGCUGAUGGAGAACAGGAACCGCACCAGGACCUAGGGGAGCCGAGAGGACACAGGGCUCCGGCGGCCAGUGUGUAAGUCGCCAGAGUGGCACAUGUGGUUGACUUCAUAGUGGAAGCUCUGCUCCGUGCCGUCAACCCCACACCCCGUCUCCUGGACUCCCCGACCUUCCCCAACCCUGCGUUUCCCCCUGGCCUCCGCUGGCCUUCCUGGGUAGGGGCUGCCACAUUGGCACCUAUGGGGUGGAGCCAGGCAGGGCAGGAGCUGAGAACAGCCCCAGCCUUCAGGGGCUGCCCGGCCUCCAUCCGACUGCCUGGCCUCAAGCUGGGAGGAGGACCCCUGGGGACACAGCAUAUUUUAAGAUGUCAGUUUUAGGCAUGGACAUUUGAAUGAGCAGAAUGUGUGGGCUGCAGGCUGGGUUGGUAGAGCCGACGUCUGCAGGGCAAGAGAAUGCUGGUCACUGGGAGCUCUUCCUGCAGCCAUUGUGAUUUUUAGGGUCAGAAAAUUAUUUGGAAAUAUUUUUCAUUCUGCAAAUAUUUCUAUACAUCUUUUCUUGAGUGUUUUCCCUUAGUAUUUAGUAAAAUUUAUUUUGAAAAUGCCGCCCUGCGGCACCUGUUCUCAGAGGGGCAUGAGAAAAGAGGAUUCUCUUCCCUGGGCUGUGGGAAGCCCCCUGAGAUGCAACGUUGGAAGCAGGGCAGAGCAGGAGAACCCAGGGAGGGCACAGAGCUGUGGACGAGGGCUGGGAAAGCCAUGGGGUCUCCGAGGAGCGCCGCUGCGGCCAAACCUGGAUGGCUGCUUUGUGCUCUCUGUUUAGGUGACGGGAUGCCUCCAUUUCCUCAGCACCCCACACCAGAUCCCCUGUGAUUGCCGGAUGAUGUGCCUAAUGAUCAAAUCCCUUGGAACUCCUAAUAAUAAAACUUUAAAUCUA